CAAAUUUAUUAGAUUUCACUUGCAUCUCCUAGUUGAGCAAUUAGACAGAGUGUACAUGCAAUAGACUUUAUGAGUAGUUAGACCAAAGGAAACACUAUCUCUCUUUUUUUAUGUGGAAUGCUUUGGAGUUUACAGCAUUUAUUUCCCAUGUAUUCCAAAUGUAGAGAGUGUGAAUUCACAAAAAGACUCUAAAAUCCUUUUUUUUUUUUUUGCUCUAAAAGACUAAUAAAGUAAAAAAAAAUUUUUUUUUGAAAUAUCAAUAAUUAUUAAAGCAAUAAAAAGUAUAAUUAUGUAGUGUUUUUCACUGUUCAUAAAAAAAAAAAAAAAAAACAUUUUUUUUUUGCCUGUACAAAUUGUUAUUGUUUUGUUAAUAUUUUUUGUUUAUUUGUUUGUUUUUUUAUUUUUAUUUUUAGUUUUUUGCACUAAAUCUUUGAUACAAUAGUCCCAUGUUAUAAAUUUAGUUAUUUAACAUUCACAAAUCAAAUUAUAAUCAGGCUGUAAUCAAGUACUGUUACUCUUUCUUCUGUAUUACUGCUCACACAUACCUUUUUCUAAAAGAUGACAGAUUGAAAGCAGUCUGUGAGUUACGACGGAAAAUGAGAAAAACAUUACUAUUGUCUCCAAUCUCCCAUAAUUAAUGUGUAAUUACAGUAUUCCAUGCUUGUUAUUACUGUUGGAAUUAAUUGCAUAGCAUGGUGUGUGACAUUCUAAUUGAGUAUAUUUGUCCUGCAGUAAUACAAUGGCAUGGAAACUGACAGCAAACUGUUAUAAAUAAGCACAUCUUUUCAGUUCUGAUGGAUAAUUUCUGUCCAAUUGCUUCCCAGGAAUGAAUCUGUGUUGUAUGGACACAUUUGGGUGAGGAGGGAGUAAUCUUCCCCGUGUGUUAAGAGGAAGAGGUUCAACACACUCCAGUGACAGCACGUCUGUCACAAUACAAACGGCCUCUGCUGUACAUCAAGCAGGCAGCCUGACUUAAGGACGCGACUAUCGUCUGGUUUUUAUUACGCGCUGCACUUGACAAAGAACAGCAUUCUCCCCUGGAAUUCACGGCCGCCUCACUCCACAAUAUGUGUUGUGCUUCCCCAAGGUUAUAAUAAGAAUUUAUUCUCCUCCUCUCUCCGUUGGCAGAUUGGAGGGAAGCAGAUGAUGUAUGAGCCAUCGCGUGUUAUUUAUUUGCCAAACUCUCCCAGAUGUGGGGCUAUCAUUUAUCUACUGACAAAUCAAACCUUCCAAACAACCUCUGCUGUGACCCCAGCCAGAGCGGAGCAGUGCUGCUGUCAGCAUAUCUCAGCAGGACAUUAGGGUCCUCCCUGAUGGGGUCUCCAGUGACCUCCGGUGCCAGCAGCAGCUUUGCUUUGUGCUGAUGGAGCAGGAAGAGACGGCUAGUCUGAGAAACAAACUCCAGCCCUGAGGGGUGAGAGACUGACGUCUGAGUGCUCUGAACCAGAACCACACAGAACACUCUGAGCUUCUGCUGCAGACUCUGUUCGACUCAGUCUGUUCUGGAACUGGUCUAAUCGUUUUGCAAUUCUAAGUAAGUAGACUCCAUUCUUCAUUCUUCAAAUGUAGCCAGAAAUGAAAUGAUCAUAUGUCUCUGUUAUGCUUUGAAUCGCAGAUGAACGCCAUACUGUGAUGAUAAGCAACACCCAGGCAGUGAAAUAAUGAUCGAUACGACUGUGCAGCAUGAAAGCCCAAAAUAAUAAACAGCUUUUAAACUCAAUGGGCUAAACA
ensembl:lncRNA